rnacentral:rRNA from 1 species
GACGAACGCUGGCGGCGUGCUUAACACAUGCAAGUCGAACGGAAAGGCCCUACUUGUUUGCGGUUGUCGAGGGGCGAACGGGAAAGUAACAGGAGCGCAACCUUCCCCUGACUCAUGGAUAACUUUAAGAAACUGGGGCGAAUACUGGUAAGGCGUACCAGCUAGGAUGAGAUGAUUGGAUAGUGUCGGCGGGCGGGGAUGGACGCGCGGCUAAUCAGCCGGUGGGUGGGGUAGUGGCUUACCAAGGCAUAGAUGGGUAGGCGGCCUUGGAGGGUGACCGGCGACAUUGGGACUGAGAUACGCCGCAGACGCCUACGGGAGGCAGCAGUGGGGAAUCUGGCGCAAUGGGCGGACGCCUGUUGAAGAAACGCCCCGUGCGGGAUGACGGCCUUUGGGUUGUAAACCGCUUUCGCCUGUGACGAAGCGUGAGUGACGGUAAUGGGUAAAGAAGCACCGGCUAACUACGUG